GACGAACGCUGGCGGCGUGCCUAAUACAUGCAAGUCGAGCGGACUGAUUAAGAGCUUGCUCUUAUGACGUUAGCGGCGGACGGGUGAGUAACACGUGGGCAACCUGCCCUGUAGAUCGGGAUAACACCGAGAAAUCGGUGCUAAUACCGGGUAAUAUCUGAGAUCACAUGAUCUUAGGUUAAAAGAUGGCUCCGGCUAUCACUACAGGAUGGGCCCGCGGCGCAUUAGCUAGUUGGUAAGGUAAUGGCUUACCAAGGCGACGAUGCGUAGCCGACCUGAGAGGGUGAUCGGCCACACGGGGACUGAGACACGGCCCAGACACCUACGGGAGGCAGCAGUAGGGAAUCUUCCGCAAUGGACGAAAGUCUGACGGAGCAACGCCGCGUGAGUGAUGAAGGGUUUCGGCGCGUAAAGCUCUGUUGUUAGGGAAGAAACAGUACCGAACGAACUAGGUCGGUACCUUGACGGUACCUAACCAGAAAGCCACGGCUAACUACGUG
rnacentral:rRNA from 1 species